AUUUGUACUUUGAACAUGUCCAAGCCUUUUAUUAAGUCGAAGCAGACCGGGAGCCAAAUAUCUGAAAAAGCGGCUCCCGGUCCUUAUUUUUUUUAGAGAACCGGGAGCCGUUUUCCAGGACCAGGAGCCGUUUCCAAAAUUGAUGAAAAUAUGUACCGUAUUCUUUUAAAUUAUUUGUUAAACGUUACCUUUUAUUUAUACAUACGGUAGUUUAAUUUCUAGUUUAAAUUUUGAGCACUCUAAUAUUAAAUCACUCAUACCUUAGAUAAAUCUGUCAUUUGUAGUUGUUGUAGUUCAUGUUUAAUACUAUUUUCAUGCCGUUAAAUGUCAAAAAUUUAAAAAUGUUGGGAAGGGGGGAAUUAAAUUAUUUCUAUAAAAAAAUAUUUAAGAAAAACCAGAUCUAUAAUGACAAUGCAGAGCUUCCAACCUGUCGCUUUCAAAAAAACAUAUUAUUCAGCUUGAAAAAACAUAUUUUAGGUGAAAAAAAAAGAUUAUGCCUGUUUUACGUUUUUGUUAUUUUCCCUAUAAAAUGCUAUUGCAUUCAUGUUUCUUUGAAUAAAAACGCAUUCAAUCAUUGAGAACGGCCGACCUGUCACUU